AUGAAAUAGAAUUCACCCUUAAGAUGAAGGAAGGAGAACGGGUCUUGCAGGGGGGAGUACAGCCUCAGGACACAUCUGAGAUUGGUCCUCUCCGAUCUGUCUGAAGAGGGAACGUCAAGUUUCAUUUCGGAUUACCCGAGGAAUUCUCGCCAUUACAGUUGGGAGGGGGGGGUAGAGGUUGAUGGAAAGACAUUCAUUUACUUUACAAAUAGCAUAUAUCCACAAUUUUCUGAAAUAAACUCCUGAAUUAUGUUACUGUAAUCUGCCGGCGUGUUUUGUAUAUGACGAUUUCCGCCAUAAGCGGAAAAUCAUCUUGCCUGUAUCAUAAUGCUAACAGCAACCCGUUUUUGUUUGUUUGUUUUUGCCACUGGCGUAAAUCCGUGUUGAUGGGUGGGGGGAUGACUGAAAUAUUUUGGC